GCCACAAGCCUUCCCAGCUAACAGGGGUUUCCUGGAUGCCAAUGGCCUUUCUCCAGCGAAGGAUGAGACAAAAGCACACAAAAGGGUUCCUGAGAGAAGAGUGUGGGAGCUUUGUCUGGGUCACCCUGGCCAAAGGUUGCCAAGACUGUCCAUACCACAUCCUCAAUCAAGCAGAGCAGGGGUGCACACCUCAGUGAUUAAGCACUUGAAGUCAUUCUCUGCCAUGCAGCAGUAUUUGUGAGAUCGUCAUAAUCAAAGGAUACUUGUGGUCAAAGCCAUACCACAUUCUGAAGAGCCACGCACUCUCCGUUUUUGUCGUGUUUUUAUCCAAGUUAUUUGCUUCCUGGAGAGGAACAAUAGAAGAAGCCACUGGAUAAAGAAUAGAACACAUUUCAAUAUCAAAAUAUAUGUCAAAUCAAAAUAAAUUUAACUAAAUCCAAAAAACCUUUCUAGGCAUAGGCAUUUUCAUCCAAAUAGUGAAGCAGUUGCCAGGCAAAUUGGCUCAUAGGUCAGACCAGGUGGAAGGGACGCUUGUGGCAUAAUCCAACAUUUACUUUUCUUAAUAAUCCCAAUUUUAUUAAAGAGCUAAGAAAUGCCAAUUUUUGACAUCAAUAAAAAUG